AACCCUGUCUGGAGUAAAUAAACAAGCAGGCAGAGUGAGACUACUUGACCCUUGACAUCAGUGCCAUCGGAGUCCAGAAGAGCGUGUCCGAUCCUGUGGAGUUGGAGUUUCAGGCAGUUGUAGAUUUUAUCCAGCUGGGAGCAGCCAAGAGUUUAUAUAAACAGCUCAGCAUUGCAAACCGAAGCCCAAAUACCAUGAGAAGCCAGAACCAAGAACACCAGAUACCCUUAGUAGGCACUCAGGAGCACCAGACCAUGUCUAGCUUAUUGGGCUUCUCCUCGGGCUAGUCCCUCUGGCCUCACUAGGUUCAAGUGAUGAAGCCAGGGUCGGCUCUGAGAUAACUAUUGUCGUGGCUAGACUUGCCACCCAGAUGGCUUCUAAGGUCCUAGAAUUCAGUCAGUCACCCCUUUUGC